GCGGUGUUUAUCAGGAAGUGCUCUCAGACUCCACGCCCGUGGGAGUAGUGAGAGGCAUAGGAUGGGACAGAAGGAGAUGCUAAACAGUGAUGCAGAAGCAGCGAAGACCUCCGCAAUCCUGCAGGGAAGCUUGGGAGCUGGUACGGCCCUGCAGAGAUGCACUGAGCCAAGCUGCCAUGUUGUAAGCUGCCCUAUGAAGGGACCCACAUGGCAAAGAAUGGAGAAUGACCCCAGCCAGCCAAGAACUCUCAGCCUACCGGCCCAUGAGGAACUGAAUCCUGCCAACAGCGAUGUGAGUGAACUUGGAAGUGGAUCCUUCUCCAGUGGCACCAUCAGGUGAGACUAUAGCCCCAGCCAACAUGGGAGUUGUUUCAGAAGAAAGGAAGUAUUAAGCCAGAUGCUUUACAGACUUUAUCUUGGACCUCAAAUUCAUUCUGUGAGAUACAUGUUGGUAUCUCCAUUGUGUAGAUAAGAAAACCAAGACUCAAAAAGGUGAAAACUUACUAAAUGUCAUAUGAUGAAUGAAUAGAAGAGAGGGGAUUUGAACUCAGGACUGAUAACACAAAAGCCCACACUCUGGUUAUUGCAGAAAUAUACUGUGUUUUUAUUUCCACGUUUCCAUCAGAACUUAAAAAUAAAAAUGGACAGUUGCUCAAUUAUCCCACUAACAAACAUAUGGCAGCAGCAAGAACUGGGACCACAGCACCAUGCUAACCAAGGCCAGGCCUUCCCUGAGUUGGUAUACACUCCCGUACAGCAGCAUCAGAAGCUGCUCAGAGCCUGCAACAUCCUCUUGAGGCAGAAUCCUCCAUGUGCAAAGUGAUCUAAUGGUCAGUUUUUAAAAGAAAAUAGCUGAAUCUGAUGCCAGUAUGGGCUAAGUACUACUUCUAAGAACCUUACAUGUCUUAACUCACUUAAACAAUCCUACAAGAAAGGCACUAUUAUAGUCAUCCAAUUUACGGAUGAGGAGACCAAGGCACAGAGAAUUUAGAUAAUUUUCUCCCAGACAUUCAGCUAUAAGGAGCAGAGCCAGGAUUUAAACUCUGACAAUUUGUCUCCACAGUCGCAUACAAGACCCCCAGAAUUCUCUCCUUGGUCCCAGGCUAUCAUGUUGCCUGGGUUCCCAAUACAGCACUGGGUGUAGCUGGCCUUGGUUCCAGGCCUUCACCUUCUGGAUUCAACCUGGCUACCAACACCCUUGAUUCUGACUUUCUCCAUUCACCUCCUCGUUCCCAGUUCCCAGCUAGCCCUUUCUGCCUUGACCCCAUCUGCCCUGGCUCUUAAGCUGUUCACACCUGCAUCCCAUCCCAUGCCUGCACCCCAGCCCUCACCUGCCUCCUGACCUGUCUUACAGCUCACCAUCCAGCCCGCCUGAGGCUCUGCCCACUGACAGGCUACUCCCAGGACAAUACUAGCUCCCCAGGACAAGCACUACACCCAGACGGCAUGUCAUUCAACAAGUCGGGGGCAGGCUUAAGGUGAAAAAUCAUCCCAAUUCUGGAGAUAUUAUCUGAAAAAAAAAGACUGUUUUCAGGAAACAAUCUUCCCAUCUGUGGUGAUUUUUAAAAUAUAGUUCCCAAAUUUUAUGUGGGAAAGGAAAGUAGCAAUAUAGAUGCAGGAAGAGCAUUACUGUGUGGAUAAAAAGAUGAUGUAUGCAAAUGAACAUGCUCAGCCUAGAACUUAAAUUAAAGUUACUGCCUGAUAUGGUAGGUACUGUGGUCUGAAUGUGUCCCCCAGAGUUCAUGUGUUGGAAACUUAAUCUCCAGUGCAACAAUGUUGAGCAAUGGAACCUUUAAGAAGUGACUGGGUCAGGAGAGUUCUGCCCUCAUGAAUGAAUUAAUGUCAUUAUUGCAAGAGUUAGUUAUUGCAGGAGUAGGUUCCUGAUUAAAAAGUGAGUCCACCCCCACUUCUCUCUCUUUUUCUGUCACGCACAUAUGCACUCUCUUGCCCUUCUACCUUCCACCAUGUGAUGACACAGCAAGAAGGCCCUCACCAGAUGCAGGCCUCUCAACCUUGGACUUUCCAGCCUCCAGAAUUGUAAGAAAUAAAUCUCUAUUCUUUAUAAAUUACCUAGUCUCUGGCAUUCUGUUACAGCAGCACAAAAUGAAUUAAGACAGUAGGAAAGAUCAUUGACACUGUUACAGACCUCUAAGGCAUGAUGAAAAAGCAAAUAUGCCCAUGUUUAUGCAAAUAGCAGAGUCAGUUAAAGAGGCCAUAACAUUGAUCAUAUGGGACUUCAAUAGCCCUGAAAUGGAUUAGAACAAGAAUUAUGGGAUGGUAAGGAGAGGCCACAGAGCUAGCAGUGAUCAGAAGCUCUUUUCCAGGAGACUUUGUUGAGCAAUCAAAAAGAUCAUGGGCUAUUGGGGGCAGCUAUCUGAAAAGUUGAAUGCAAUGAAGGAUGAAGGAUGGGGCUAAAA
rnacentral:lncRNA from 10 species